GGGGAAUAUUGCGCAAUGGGCGAAAGCCUGACGCAGCGACGCCGCGUGAGGGAUGAAGGUUUUCGGAUCGUAAACCUCUGUCAGAAGGGAAGAAACCGCACCGUGCUAAUCAGCGGUGCCUUGACGGUACCUUCAAAGGAAGCACCGGCUAACUCCGUGCCAGCAGCCGCGGUAAUACGGAGGAUGCAAGCGUUAUCCGGAUUUAUUGGGUUUAAAGGGAGCGUAGGCGGACUAUUAAGUCAGCUGUGAAAGUUUACGGCUCAACCGUGAAAUUGCAGUUGAAACUGGUCGUCUUGAGUGCAGUAAAGGUGGGCGGAAUUCGUGGUGUAGCGGUGAAAUGCUUAGAUAUCACGAAGAACUCCAAUUGCGAAGGCAGCUCACUGGACAGGUACUGACGCUGAGGCGCGAAAGCGUGGGGAGCAAACA
rnacentral:rRNA from 1 species